rnacentral:rRNA from 1 species
UACGAAGGGGGCGAGCGUUGUUCGGAAUCACUGGGCGUAAAGGGCGCGUAGGCGGCCCUCUUAGUCGCGUGUGAAAUCCCCCGGCUCAACCGGGGAAUUGCGCGCGAUACUGGCGGGCUAGAGAUCGGGAGGGGUGAGUGGAACUCCAGGUGGAGCGGUGAAAUGCGUAGAUAUCUGGAGGAACACCGGUGGCGAAAGCGACUCACUGGCCUGACACUGACACUGAGGUGCGAAAGCUAGGGUAGCAAACGGG